GUGACCCCCACCACGUGAGCACAAUUUGACAAAGAAAUAAAAGGAAUCCUCUUAGGUGGCUUCUCUAAAUGACUGUCUCCAGGUGUUGCAGGUUACAAAUCACUUUCUCAGAAAGGCUGGCUCUGCUAACUGAAGGAGAGACAUCCACUUACCCGGCCCAUGGUUUUAGAACUGCCAAUCAUCCUCAGAAGCUGAGUCCAGAGAAGCCAGAGCUGAGGGAGGAAAAAGAAGCCUUGAGACCCAAUGUAGCUCAGAACUCCCAACAUUAAGGAUCCUAUACAUGAUCCCACACUGCAUUGAGCUGUUAUUUCUCCUCAGUCUCUUCCAAUCUCCACAGUCUUUCUUAUGGUAAUAGUUUUCAAUCGCUGCCAUAACAAAUUACCACAAAUUUAGCUUAAAACAACACACAUUUAUUAUCUCACAGUUUCUGUGAACUUGGAGUCUGGACACAGUUUCGAUGGAUGGUCUCCUCAUGCUGGUCUUAUAAGCUGCAAACAGGGUAUCAGCUGGGCUGUGUUCUCAUUCAGAGGCUCAAGUGGGGAAGAAUCCACUUUCAAUUUCAUUCCGAUUGUUGGCAGAAUUCAUAUCCUUGCGGCUGGAUGACUGAGGGCCUCAACUUUUUGCUGACUGUCAGCUGGAGAAUGACCUCAGGUCCUAGAGGCUGCCUGCAGUUUCUUGCAAGGACUUGUCCAACACUGCCUUACUUCAUCAAGCCCACAAGUAGAGUCUCUAGCUCCAGUCUGCUAUGACAGAGUCUUUUUUUGUUUUGUUUUUGGUUUUUUUUGGCCACGCCUCACAGCACGUGGGAUCUUAGUUCCCUGACCAGGGAUCAAACCCACGUCCCCUGCAGUGUAAGUGCAGAGUCUUAACCACUGGACCACCAGGAAAGUCCCUAUGAUGGAGUCUUACGUGACAUAAUGUAACCAUAGUAGCAACAUCCCAUUACUUUUGCCAUAUAAAGUAACCUAAUCACAGGACUGACAUCCCCUCACCAAUUUUCUGUUGGUUAGAAACAAGUCACAGGUCCUGCUUGCACUCCAAUGGAGGGGGAUUAUACAAUGGCAUAGACACCAGCAGGCAGGAAUCAUGGCGGUCACCCUAAAGUGUGUCUAUCACACCUAAUUCAUGACCUCUUCACUUCGGAGGAGUACCAAUCAUUUAAAUUAUCAAACGUCCCUCCACUUGGUUUGUCUGAUGUUUCACAAUUGGAAUGAGGCUCUGCAUUUUUGGCAGUACCACAGUGAUGCUCUGUCCUUCUCAUUGCAUUAUAUGAAAGGGCUCAUGAUGUCAAUACUUUAUCACUGAUGAUGUUAACCGUGAUCACUUGGUGAAACUGCUUUCUGAUGGGUUUCCCCACUAGAAAGGUACUACCUUUCCCUCUGUUGUUAAUAAAUAUCGUGGGUGAUGGGGAAUCCUUUGACACUAUGCAAACCCUUUUUCUCUUCAAACUUUCACCCUCUAGUUUUAGCAUCUACCAGUGGAUCUCGUCUGAAACAACUAUUACUGUGGUGUUUGCCUAAUGGCCAUUUUCCAUGUCCCUCUUACCUUCUACAUUUAACAACUGGAAUUCUACCAUAAGGAAGAUCUGUCCCUUCUUCCCCAGGAAAAGAUGUUUUAAACAGAACAAAAAUGCAAUAGCCAUAAAAGAAAAAGAUUGUUAAAUGAGCUCAGUUAAAAUUAAGAAUAUCUGUUCAUUAUAAGACAUCAUUAAGAAAGUGAAUAAGAAGUUACAGGCUAAUAGGAGAUAUUCCCUUUCUCUGUCUGUCUCUGUGUCUCUCUUUCUACACACACACACACACACACACACAGGUUUAUAUACACACACAAAGGACUCGUAUUCAAAAUAUAUCUAAAAUUCCUACAAAUCAAUAGGAAAAGGAACAAAAGCCAGGCUAAAAAAUGGACAAAAGAUUUGAAUAGACAGUUCAUCAGAGUAUGUCAAAAUGGGCAGUAUCAUAUGAAAAGAUGCUCACAACAUUACUUAUCAGAAAAAUACAAAUUAAAAUCACAAUGAGAUACUCCUACACAUGCAUCAGAAUGGUUAAAUUUAAAAUGAUUGACGAUAUCAAGUGUUGGCCAGUUUGAGAAGUAACUAGACCUUGCAUACAUUGCAGUCGGAGUGUAAAUUAAGUUAAUCACUUCCACCCCCAGGUAUAUUCCCAGGUAAAACAAGAACAUGUGUCCACAAAAAGACUUGUACAAGAAUUUUCAUAGAAGGUUUAUUCAACAUAGUCAAAUACUGGAAACAACUCAUCAUCAUAAGAAUGAAUAAACAAAUUGUGAUAAGGUCAUACAAUGGAAUACUACACAACACUUGGGUUGGGGGUAACCUACUGAUUCACAAAACAACACGUAUGAAUCUCAAAAAUUCAGUUUUGGACAAAAAGCAGCAGAGACAAGAGAUUCCAUUUAUAUGAAGUUCAAGAACAGGCAAAUCUCAUCUUGAGUGACAGAAGUCAGUAUAAUGUUUACUUGUUGGGGAGGGUUCGUUCUUACUGGGACAGGACACAAGCACAUCUUCCAAGAGGGGAUAGAAAUGCUCUAAUUCUUGAUUCAGGUGGUGUUUUCAAAUGUAAAGAUUCAUUAAGCUAUAUGCACAGCUAAGAUAUGUGUACUUUAUUAUAUAUAUUUCCAUGAAAAAAUGAUAGAGACCUUUAUUUGAUGACAAUGGGUAAAACCAUUAUAUUUCAAAAUGUUACCCGGUUAUGACAAGUAAAAUAACAUGUAUGAAUAUAUGCAUGUGCAUUGAGGAAUGGAUAAAAAAUUUGGAGUAAAAUGUUUACAGUAGUCUCUUCAUUUUGAGCUUUUCUGUACUUUCUGAAUUAUUGUAUGAGAAUGUAUUACUUCUA